UUCCGCGACCUUUAGUCAUUUCAGUCUCGUCUCUCACCCUCUCUUUCUUCUCUUCUCUGGGCCGCCUCUCUUUCUUCUCUUCUCUGUCAAUUUCUCUUCAUCAAGAAGGACUAGAUCGAUGUCCAAGGAGCAGAUCGGGUUGAUGAGUCAUCGGGUUUCAUUUGAAAUCCAAGUAUGGUGCCAUGGUGGUUGACGUCUGAGCACGACCUUCGCCGCCGCCGAAAGAAGAACCAAAUGGAUUUAUUUUCUGAGAUUUUGGGUAUGACGAUGCAUGAAGACUCGUGCUUGAUCAGGAUCUCAAUGGGGUGAGCUUUACACACUGCUAUUACUACUUCGCCUAUCUUUGUUUGUUUUUUUUUUUUUGAAUCUUUGUUAUCUAGUUUUGAUGUGAUUGUUUUUUGUUUCACUCUUGCUUGAGUGUGGAGUUGAUAUUAAUCUCAGGAACUAUCAAAAGCAAAGCAAAGCUAUGUCCGAUGCUCUCGGUCAAUUCUCAGGGAAGAAGCCCGUAGGGCUGGAUUGCACCAGCUGGCUUUUUGUGGUUCGUGAGAUUUGACCUUUAUGGGAAAGACUACUUCAUUGUCAUGAAUGCUUCAGAGAUCACUGACAAACUUGGUCUCCACACUUUCGUCAACGCCAAUGGCUGGGAAAGCUAUGUUUGGCUGUUCUGAGGGCAGGAGGUGAUAUUGGGGAAGAAUGGUGUGGUGAAUGUUUUGGAAUUGGGUCCUCUCUCAAGACUUUGAGAAGGAAGGAUUUGAAUUAUUGAAGCCUGGCAUUGGAACCAUUCUUAUACCCAUCUAAAUUUUGCUCGUGUUGGUGUUGUA